rnacentral:rRNA from 1 species
UCCGUAGGCGGGUGAUUAAGUCAGAGGUGAAAUUCCACAGCUUAACUGUGGAAGUGCCUUAGAUACUGAUGAUCUUGAGUUUUAGUGAAGUAGAUAGAAUGUGUAGUGUAGCGGUGAAAUGCAUAGAUAUUACACAGAAUACCGAUUGCGAAGGCAGUCUACUAACUAACAACUGACGCUAAUGGACGAAAGCGUGGGGAGCGAACAGGAUUAGAUACCCUGGUAGUCC